GACGAACGCUGGCGGCGUGCCUAACACAUGCAAGUCGAACGGUAAGGACCUGCUCUCACGGUACUCUGAUGGGGAACGAAUGAGUAAGUCGUGGGUGAUCAGCCCUGCACUGCGCGGUAAGCCUGGUAAACUGGGUCUAGCACCGGCUAGGUGCCAUUUUUAGAGUUAUGGUUGGAGAGUGUUUUCGGUGUAUGCUGAGCUCGCGGCCUAUCAGCUUGUGGGUGGGGUAAUUGCUUACCAAAGCGGCGACCGGUAGCCGGCCUGAGAGGGUGGACGCCCACAUUGGGCCUGAGAGACGGCCCAGACGGCAACGGGAGGCAACAGAGGGGAGUAUUGCAGAAUGGGCGCAAGUCUGAGGCAGAGAUGCCGCGUGGGGGAUGACGGGCUUCGGGUUGUAAACUCCGUUCGGUAGGGAAGAAGCAUUUUGUGACGGUACCUAGAUAAGAAGCACCGGCUAACUACGUG
rnacentral:rRNA from 1 species